CCUAAAUGUUUCGUUUUUUCCCAAUCUCUAAAAAAAACCUAUCUAUUUUCUCCCAAAAGUUUUCACUCUUCCCCGAUUUUUUCCGAUUCGAACGCUCCCCUUCUCGACCAUGAUUGCGCGAACGAUCCCUUAAGAUGGACCGUCACCAAACGAUCUCGCACCAUGGACGUUCCAUCGUGCACAGAUGUUCACGUUCAUGCAGACGCUCCACCCACAUAGGUUCUCCGUGACUGUAAUGUCGAGGAAGGCCGAUAUGAAGAAAGAAGUUGUAAAAUGCCUUAUAAAUUUGAUUCACAAGCACGGUGGCUGGAUUGACAAUGAUGGAUCCAUCUUCUAGGCUUGUGAUACAAUCUUGAAUGUGCUUCUGAAGAUGUUUGAUCAAAUGUCUCCAAAAUCAAAGGUUAAUUCAUAAGGUGUUUUUGUUCUAAUUUUCUGUGUUUUUUGAAUGGGAGCUAAACUUCUCCUAGUGCAAAUGACCAAUGUGAGUGAUUUUUCAGCACAAUUAAACUUGUACCAUUGGUUUAGGUAAAUUUUGGUCUCCACAAUGUAACUAGUUUUUUAUGGAGUAAAUUAUUGCUAAUUCAUUGGUAUUAUGCAUAAAUUAUUGCUAAUUUAUUUGGUUUGAACUUUGAUGUUUCUUUCCUUCCAAGUAAUGGAAAUAAAAAGGGACAGCUUCGGAAUGAUUCUAACUGGGUAGAUGGUGACAGCUUCAGUGUGGCUUCUCUUGUUCGUAUGCCCUCUACAUAUCUGGAUGACCAAGCCUUUUCUAGUGUUCUAAUUGCAUCCGAUCUUUUCUCCUAUUAUCAAUAAUGACUCUGGCUGCUUGUAAUCUGAGAUCUGUUGGUGCAUAUCAGAUAUUUUCCUCAGGAUGUUGUUGCACGCAGUUUUGCCAACUACCUACUUGUUGGAUUACAAAAGAAAUACAUAUACAAAAGCAGAUUUGCAAUGCACGAAUGUUAUACAAAGCAUGGAAAAAAGGUUGAGAGUUGCUUGCCUUAUGCAAAUAUCAAUAAUGUUGUGGAGAUUGGCUCUGCCGUUGGUGGUACUUAUUUUAGCUCAUGAAUUGAAGAUAGAGGAUGCGAAUGCAAGUUUAUUUGAAGCCAAGUUUCAUCUAAAGUUAUUGAGUUUCAAGCUUCUUUAGUUAAGUUUGUAUUUCUUGAACUAGAAUUGUAGUCUUAUGAUUUUUGGAACAACAUAGUUGGAAAGGUUUUGUAAUUUUGGAAUUAUCAUAUUAGGUUGGGUAGAUAGAAGUAAUGUUUUUUAUAUGACAAUAUCGAACAAAUAUGUAAAGUUUUCGAAAUGUUGAUACAUAUACGUUAAAAUGUUAAUAUAUGUUAAAGUUUUGGAAUUGUCCUCCUGCA